rnacentral:tRNA from 1 species
AAAUAAGUAAGCUAAUAAAGCUAUUGGGUUCAUACCCCACCUAUAAAGGCUCUCUCCUUUCUUAUUUA